rnacentral:lncRNA from 1 species
UAGAAAUCUGACACAGGCCUCACUAGGCUAAAACUAAGGUGUCGGAAAGGCUGCAUUCCUUCUGGUCUCAGGGGAAGAUGCUGUUUCGUUUUCCAGCUUCUAGGGGUUGCCUACAUUCCUUGCCUCACCGCCCCCUUCCUCCUCCUCCAAAGCCAGCAACAUAGCAUUCCUUUGACUCUGCUUCCGUUGUCACAUAUUUCUCUGAUCCUUCCUUCUACCUCUCUCUUUCCCUUAUAGGGACUUUUAUGAUCACAUUGGGUCCAACUGGACAAUCCAGGACAUUCUCCCCAAAUCUGGUUGAAGGGAGGUCCAAGACUGGCAAGAAGCAUGAAAUGGAAGAGGCGGUACCAGAAAUAGUAUUCAGCUUACAUUUCAUUUGCCAGAACUGAGUUAUAGGACCACCUCUAAUGGCAAGGACAUCUGAGAAGGUAAGUUAGCUUUCUUACAUCUCUAAAAAGGGAAGGAAAAUGGAGAUCCGUGUUGGAACAAGGGAUAGAUGCGCUAACCUACCAGAAUGACUGCAAGAACUAGAUGAACUUAACAAAGAACUUUGUCCGGUUACUGAAGAGCAGGGACCAGGUGCUAGAAUUUUAGUGGACGACUUGCUACAUGUGUUAUGUAAUACCUGGUGACAGGUUAGGUGUGGCUUCUACUCUCCUCCACUCAUCAGGGCUGAGUCACAAGAGAUGAGGGCAAACCUGAUGCAGACAGUUUCACCUUAGGACAGCCACCCCGUCUAUUCCCUCCCCGUGUUACCCGUGUGUAAUCCCCUGCUUGUUACAUAGUCUCUUCAGGAGCAAAUGCCAAGUCACAUGCCUCCCAGUGCAGCUGCAACCCAUCAGUGAGAUUUCACAAUGAAUGCUUCUGUAAACCAGGUGCAAUCUGACCUGCUAACAUUCCACGUUUAUCUUACUUUGCUACAUUCUGGAGAGCUGAGUGGCAAGAAGGCAAAUCUAAGGUCAUAUCCCCAGGGUCCCUUGGUCUGAUGUAGGAGUUCAGACCAGCUGAAACCCCUUUUCUUGCAGGAACCAAGUACCUAAAAAAAAAAUCAUCCCUUUCUUCCUCUCCAAUUCAGAAUCAGUUGAAAGAGAUACAGAAUCAGACAAAUGAAGGUCAAACUAUCAGCUUCAUAAAGCUGACUGGAAGACACGGCCAAGUAGGCACUCUCACACUUUUCCCAGAGUUAUCCAGUAGUCACUGGCACAGUGGAACAACACAGUCUUCCCAGUGGAAUAAAGUCCCCGGAGAGGAAAGCUGACA